rnacentral:lncRNA from 1 species
UGUUCCUUUUCCUUUAUCCCUCUUUAAUAUAGUUAUGGGAGGAGCACUUGGUACAGCACAUGAAUUAGGGAGGUAGACAAACUUCUUUCUGCCUUUCCCCCCGACAGAUAUUGCAUCACUCAUCUUCUUGAAAAGAUUCACGAGCUUAACUGCCCCAUAUUCUGAAACAUACAGUGGCCUCCCAUAAAUUCUCUGGUAUUCAGCAGGAACACGUGUAAGAAGCAAGCAGCCGCCAGAUAACUCAAGCAGCUUCACCAGCUGACACUUCAAACCAUUUACAUCCCCAGGCUGCACCCACGUCAAGUCACUCUGGUCAUGUGAAGAUGGACCUCCAGCUGAAACUUCAUUUA